GGAUGUAAGGGCGAUCUGGUUGUGCUAUCUGUCACCCUGGUGAUCUCCAGGGUUGAUUCAGCUGAUCUGGCUUGCUAGACGGGAGUCGCCUUCUUCCCUCACCACUCCCUGUGUGUCCCUCUUGAAGCUCAAAGAGGACAACCAUCCCUGAUAGAAGAGGACCAUUCUUCAGUCAAGAGUAUGAGUAGCCACACUCUUCUGCUGUAACCUCCAAACAAGCCCUCAACAAAAAAAAAAUUUAGGGAAUUUGUCACGUUAAAAGAAGUUCUUCAGAAAGCAGUAAAAUUAUACGGGUUGGGAACUUAAGAAAGCAAAAUAAAAUCUCUUAUUU
rnacentral:snRNA from 1 species